rnacentral:lncRNA from 1 species
AUGAGUCUAACUCAACCACUUAGGUGUCUGUUAGGUCUCGUAUCCAAAUUCAAAAAUAAAAAAAUUGAACUGUCUCACUCUCAGGAACAGGGUUUCAAAUAAAUGUCUGCAACCGCAACCUGGGUUGCGUUGCGAGACGGUUUUAUGUUACUGAAAUCACAACGUAACAGCAAUGAGACCACAUUUGACAGUAAUUCUCUACAAUGCCAAGGAACGCAAAGCAACCCACCCGCUGUUUAAAAUCUUGCUCAAAAGAAUAACAAUUUCACAAGACCAAAAGACCAUAAACAGCUAGGAUUAUUAGCACACAAAAUCACACUAUUCUAAAACAGUUAGCAAACACUCAAUUAUUAGUUAUAUAGAUAUAGAUAGGGGUUUGCUCAAUCCAAAGGAGUAAGAUCCAAAAAUAUUGAUCAACUAAUAUCCUAAAAUCAUCAUAGCACAGACAUCAGACACAACAUACUGACAUGUUGACACCAAUAAUAAUUUGAGAAAAUGUCAUAAUUCAUAAUAAUUUGAGAGCCUUCUAAUUUGAAAAGUGUAUGUGCUUCAUAGAUUAAAA